rnacentral:rRNA from 1 species
AGGCUUCGGCUGGAUUAUUUUUAUCACCCUUGUCUUUUGCGCACUUGUUGUUUCCUGGGCGGGUUCGCCCGCCACCAGGACCACACCAUAAACCUUUUUUAUGCAGUUGCAAUCAGCGUCAGUAUAACAAAUGUAAAUCAUUUACAACUUUCAACAACGGAUCUCUUGGUUCUGGCAUCGAUGAAGAACGCAGCGAAAUGCGAUACGUAGUGUGAAUUGCAGAAUUCAGUGAAUCAUCGAAUCUUUGAACGCACAUUGCGCCCUUUGGUAUUCCAAAGGGCAUGCCUGUUCGAGCGUCAUUUGUACCCUCAAGCUUUGCUUGGUGUUGGGCGUCUUUUGUCUUUGGCCUCGCCCAAAGACUCGCCUUAAAACGAUUGGCAGCCGGCCUACUGGUUUCGCAGCGCAGCACAUUUUUGCGCUUGCAAUCAGCAAAAAGGACGGCAAUCCAUCAAGACUACAUUUUUACGUUUGACCUCGGAUCAGGUAGGGAUACCCGCUGAACUUAAGCAUAUCAAUAAGCGGAGGAAA